GACGAACGCUGGCGGCGUGCUUAACACAUGCAAGUCGAACGCUGAAGCUCAGCUUUUGUUGGGUGGAUGAGUGGCGAACGGGUGAGUAACACGUGAGUAACCUGCCUCCUUCUUUGGGAUAACGCCCGGAAACGGGUGCUAAUACUUGAUAUUCACUGGUCUUCGCAUGGGGGUUGGUGGAAAGGGUUUUUCUGGUGGGGGAUGGGCUCGUGGCCUAUCAGCUUGUUGGAGGGGUUAUGGCCUACCCAGGCUUUGACGGGUAGCCGGGCUGAGGGGGUGACCUGUCACAUUGGGACGGUGAUACGGCCCAGACUCGGACGGGGGGCAGCAGUGGGGACUAUUGGACAAUGGGCGAAAGCGUGAUGCAGCGAGGCCGCAUGAGGGAUGGAGGCCGUAGAGUUGUGAACCUCUUUCGCAAAUGGUGAAGCCUCAAAAAUUGUUGUGGUGAGGGUAGUGGGUAAAGAAGCGCCGGCUAACUACGUG
rnacentral:rRNA from 1 species